CUUUGGGAGUAGGUCACAUGAGAGGAGAGCUGAAUUGCUCAUGGGAGAUAAAGAUAUGUGAUGAUGUACCAUACCUCCAAGAGGGCAGGCUUCCUCUCUUCCUCAUUCAUCUCUACCAACUUCAUCACAUCCGAGUCUCCUACUCACUGGAUAUUCAGUAACACUGCCUUUCCCUGUCAACUCAAUACUAACUUUACACUAAAAAACGAAUAGAUAAUUUCUUUAUUAGGAACAGUAUAAUUAUCAGCAGCAGUAAAGGACUGUGAAACCUGAAAUAAAUUGAAAUGUUUAUUUAAGAUUUUCUUUUCUAACAAAACCGUCUCAGUAUAAUUUUACAAAAAUAUUUUCUGCUUCGACACAACAGGCCAACAUGACAAAGUUGUUCACCGGAUCACAUUACUGAAAUAACUACUCAGUUCCACAAAUUAAAGAUAUUUUCUCAUUGACAGCAGCAUAGUGAUAUCAAAUAUAUAACUAACCCAAAGAUUGAACAGAGCCUGUAGUUUCCAAUGGGAGCAAAUUAAUCAUAGUGGGCAGGACAAGCACAAGCUAGUGAGAUCCCAUUGGCACGUUCUUGCAUUUAUUUGCAUAUUUCUGUUGCCUAUUCUAAAGUGUGGGUGUGCAAUAACUCAAUUCACCCUUGCACUCCUAAACAACUUUUUUCAAACUUUGGCAAAGGGUAAAGUCUACAGAAUGCAGUCCUCUCAGUUGGUUACAGAUUGUAGUUUUAGAAACAGAAAACUGUAUGGGCAUAAAAUGUUUGGUCGUUGAGAAAAUUGGCAGAA